rnacentral:lncRNA from 1 species
UUUCACUCCAGUUUGAAACCGUCAUUAUUUUUUUUAAUUUCUUGACUCCAAAGUCAUGCAUUGAAUAUUUCCUCAGCACUUCAGCUCCUGGGGCUGGAGAAGCACACUGGAAAAUGAGUGAGUGUGCUUUCAGCGAUAUCCGCAUUUCUAGAACAGCAUUUAUUUUUGCAUAUGCAUGUAGGACACAGAUACACAGGGCGGGUUUGGGGCGGGACCUCGUGCGGUGCAGGCGCUGUGGGAAGCGUUGCCCUAACGGCUGGUCUCCAGGGCUGCAGGUCUGGGCCUGUGUCUGGCACCCACGUGCGGGUGUGCGCGAGAAGCGCCGUUAAAGACAGAGCUCAUCCUGUUAGCUGUCCCUCUCAUCCCCGCCCCUGCAACCUGAGUUUCCCAGAUUCCUUACGUCCCGCAAUGUCCGAGUUGAUGCGCUGAAAGAGCAAAGAGAUCAAAAAAAGAAAGGUUUGUGAAAAAAGAAGUUGCCGCACGUAUGAUCUGCACAGCAGUGAUUCCCACAUGGGAAGUGCUCUUUAAAGGUUACGCAUUCAACUCUCAAAAGCCUCUUAAGAGAAGAGUGACUUUAAGUAUUUCUAAGGGCAGAGCAAUGGGAGGUGGAGAAUGCUG